UUUAUUGAAAUGGCUUACUCUAUUAUGGUUAGGCUAAUUUAUUCAUUUUUUUCCAUGUUGUGGACUUUUCCCCUAACUAUUCUGAGGCUAAUUUAUUCAUUUUUUUUUUCACGUUCUGAAUUUUUCCCCUAAUGAUUCCACAAAAAUUCUAGACUGGAAUUAACUAAAAAAAAGAUUCCUCUAUCGUAUCUGGAAGUUAUCAUAUCAAUAUUUACAUUGUAGCAGCUGAGAAGCUUGGAGAAAACGAGGCAAUCUGGAAACUACUAUGACUAGAGACUACCAAGACUGAGAAGACUGGAAAGACUAGAUGAAUUGCAUGGUAUUGAUUUUUCACAAAGGAUUUUUUCAUGGACAUUGACGGCAGGGUUAAUCUAGUCAUAUGCUUAACACAUUCGACUUUGAAUCAGAAAAUUUUGAAUAUGUAAAUCCAAUUCAGAAAAAUUGGUUGUUAUGCAUACUUUGUAGUUCUAUUAGAAACAACAGAGAUAAAAAAAUUUAAUUUAUUGUGGUAA